AGGACGAACGCUGGCGGCGUGCUUCACACAUGCAAGUCGAACGGGGCUCAUUCGGUGGUAACACCGGAGAAGGCCUAGUGGCGAACGGGUGCGUAACACGUGAAGAACCUGCCCCGAAGACUGGGAUAACAGCGGGAAACCGCUGCUAAUACCGGAUGACCCCACCAGGCCGCAUGGCCAGGUGAGGAAAUGGGCCUACCGCUUCGGGAGGGCUUCGCGGCCUAUCAGCUUGUUGGUGGGGUAACGGCCUACCAAGGCUACGACGGGUAGCUGGUCUGAGAGGACGACCAGCCACACUGGGACUGAGACACGGCCCAGACUCCUACGGGAGGCAGCAGUGGGGAAUCUUGCGCAAUGGGCGAAAGCCUGACGCAGCAACGCCGCGUGAGGGAUGAAGGUCUUCGGGUUGUAAACCUCUUUCGAGCGAGGGACGAUUGUGACGGUACCUGCAGAAGAAGCUCCGGCCAACUACGCGCCAGCAGCCGCGGU
rnacentral:rRNA from 1 species